GCCAUUCACAACAGAAGCGACUGCCCCCGUCCGUCACGCAAAGCAAAUUCUGCGAAUUCUUCAGCAAGUCGUGGUUAUUCCGGAGUGCCGUACAGAUCUUUGAAUCGUCGAGAUUAAAAAGAACGCAUUCAAACUGUGGCUGAGUGUCAGUAACAGUGGGAAAAGGGGAGAAGAGUGGUAAGGGGAGACGCACGUUUUAAUUCAGAGGAUUUCAGGUUAUGAGAUGUAUCUUUUUUUUUCUGAGAAAGAAAAUUGAAAUUGGAAAAUGCGUUAUUGUUUUCCAACUUACUUCUCGUACAAUAACCGCAUUACACGUUGCAGUUGGGCGUUCCUUUGUUACUCGAGCCAUUUAAGGGGGCAACACGCCCUGUUUCACCUGAAACGCCAAUUUUGUCGACAACUUUUUCCCGCAUAAUGGUGGUAGCUCAGUCGUCUCUCCAAAAGAUUGAAGAGAAACAAGUCUAGGGGGUAAAUUUUUUUUGUUUCAAAAAAUUUCGAAGCUUUUAGAAUUUGAGGGAAAAAAAGUAAAAAUAUAAGGGUUACUUCUUCACUAAAAUCAUUAACCAAGACCAGGUCAAAUUGGAACUUUGUUUUUACUACAUAAUUUGAUAAAUUAAUGUACCAUUGGAAAAGCUUAAAGAGCAUCCUUGAUUUGAAAAGACAUGACAAAAGUAAAAAAAAAAAA